AACGAACGCUGGCGGCAGGCUUAACACAUGCAAGUCGAACGCCCCGCAAGGGGAGUGGCAGACGGGUGAGUAACGCGUGGGAACAUACCCUUUCCUGCGGAAUAGCUCUGGGAAACUGGAAUUAAUACCGCAUACGCCCUACGGGGGAAAGAUUUAUCGGGGAAGGAUUGGCCCGCGUUGGAUUAGCUAGUUGGUGGGGUAAAGGCCUACCAAGGCGACGAUCCAUAGCUGGUCUGAGAGGAUGAUCAGCCACAUUGGGACUGAGUCACGGCCCAAACUCCUACGGGAGGCAGCAGUGGGGAAUAUUGGACAAUGGGCGCAAGCCUGAUCCAGCCAUGCCGCGUGAGUGAUGAAGGCCUUAGGGUUGUAAAGCUCUUUCACCGAUGAAGAUAUUGACGGUAGUCGGAGAAGAAGCCCCGGCUAACUUCGUGCCAGCCGCCGCGGUAAGAC
rnacentral:rRNA from 1 species